rnacentral:rRNA from 1 species
UGGGGAAUCUUGGACAAUGGGCGCAAGCCUGAUCCAGCCAUGCCGCGUGAGUGAAGAAGGCCCUAGGGUUGUAAAGCUCUUUCGGCGGGGACGAUAAUGACGGUACCCGCAGAAGAAGCCCCGGCUAACUUCGUGCCAGCAGCCGCGGUAAUACGAAGGGGGCUAGCGUUACUCGGAAUGACUGGGCGUAAAGGGCGCGUAGGCGGUUUGGACAGUUAGGCGUGAAAUUCCUGGGCUCAACCUGGGGGCUGCGCUUAAUACAUCCAGACUUGAGUGUGGAAGAGGGUCGUGGAAUUCCCAGUGUAGAGGUGAAAUUCGUAGAUAUUGGGAAGAACACCGGUGGCGAAGGCGGCGACCUGGUCCAUUACUGACGCUGAGGCGCGAAAGCGUGGGGAGCAAACA